AACGAACGCUGGCGGCAUGCCUAACACAUGCAAGCCGAACGAAGGCUUCGGCCUUAGUGGCGCACGGGUGCGUAACGCGUGGGAAUCUGCCCUUAGGUACGGAAUAACUCAGGGAAACUUGAGCUAAUACCGUAUAAUGACUUCGGUCCAAAGAUUUAUCGCCUGAGGAUGAGCCCGCGUCGGAUUAGCUAGUUGGUGAGGUAAAAGCUCACCAAGGCGACGAUCCGUAGCUGGUCGGAGAGGAUGAUCAGCCACACUGGGACUGAGACACGGGCCAGACUCCUACGGGAGGCAGCAGUGGGGAAUAUUGGACAAUGGGCGAAAGCCUGAUCCAGCAAUGCCUCGUGAGUGAUGAAGGCCUUAGGGUUGUAAAGCUCUGUUACCCGGGAUGAUAAUGACAGUACCGGGAGAAUAAGCCCCGGCUAACUCCGUGCCAGCAGCCGCCGUAA
rnacentral:rRNA from 1 species